GUGCUAUGAUGUUUAUUGAACAAAACAUCAUGAUAAGAUGAGAAUGCGGGAUCGCUGAGCAAC
rnacentral:sRNA from 1 species